rnacentral:rRNA from 1 species
AUUGAACGCUGGCGGCAGGCCUAACACAUGCAAGUCGAGCGGAGCGGCAGACGGGUGAGUAAUGCCUAGGAAUCUGCCUGUUAGUGGGGGAUAACGUCGGGAAACGGGCGAGAACACCGCAUACUAGCCGAUGAGCAAAGGUAGGCUUAGCUAGUGGGUGGGGUAGAGGCCUACCAAGGCGACGAUCCGUAACUGGUCUGAGAGGAUGCUCAGUCACACUGGAACUGAGACACGGUCCAGACUCCCACGGGAGGCAGCAGUGGGGAAUAUUGGACAAUGGGCGAAAGCCUGAUCCAGCCAUGCCGCGUGUGUGAAGAAGGUCUUCGGAUUGUAAAUCACUUUAAGUUGGGAGGCGUUACCAACAGAAUAAGCACCGGCUAACUUCGUGCCAGCAGCCGCGGUAAUUC